rnacentral:lncRNA from 1 species
AGUGCUAGUUUAGUGCCAACCAGUCCCCACCUUCUCGGGCCUCCUCCCACUGGUUCCUCCCCUUUCAGCUGCUCUGGUUCAUAUAAAAACUCCACAGCCUUUCACUCACGGCCUGAAGGAGCCUCCCUCCCCACUGCUGCCGCACAAGACAGUGAGAACGACCCACAGGACCACAGAGAGACAUGAAGAGCCUGCUCCUUCUCUCAAUUCUGGCUGCCUUGGCCAUGGCAGCUUUAUGUUAUGGUGAGAAUCCUUUCUCCUGGCAUUUCUCCAGUUUUUCUUUGCUGCCUCUGACUUCAGUUCACUUUGAUUUUUCCUCCACCUCCUCCACUUCUUCUCUCUUUCUCUAUUAUAAUCUUAAAGUACCAUCAAUUUAACCUUUCCCAAGCCCCAUGGACAUUCAUCCAUUCCAUCAAGUUUUUUUUGCAUCUUAAAUAUCCAGAUUCCUGUAUUCAACUUAUUAGGCAAGUUCUUUCUAUGGUAAGUCACUAUGCACCUGGAAACUUCACUAUUUCAGAAAGAAGAUAGCCAAUUAUUGGCCCCUGAGAUCUCAUUUUUGAGGAUGUUUAUUUAAACUUUGGUAAAAAAAUGGUUAAGGAUAUUGAUUGAAUCACUCAUCUUUAAGAAAAUGAGUUUUCUCAUGAAGUCUUAACUAUAGCCGUCUCUGGGGACAGAACAGUCUCGUGGACGUACUACGUUUGUUCAGUGGAUUUAUUUAAAAACAAAGUUUUACAUUUAAAGAACCUCAGAGAAAAAUAGGUUUUAUAAUUUCUAUUGUGAAAAGAUAAAUUUUGCCUGGUUUCUGCAUGUUGUUAAAUAUAUUUCUGUCUGUUCAAAGCUAAUGAAAGGAAAUCUGAAGCAAAAUUAUUUAGAUUGUUCGGUUUUAUGCUCCAAUUAUCUGGAUAUUUUAGCCGUUCUUAAGCCUAAAUUAUAUUAACAACCAUGUGUAUUUUGCUUCUUAUUCUUGAAAUUAUUCACAAGGUUUCUGCAUCUGAGGAUUUGGUUUCUUUACCGCCUUUUUAACUUUUCAAGCAAAUUCACUUGCUUGCAAAUAUAAGCUUCUUAUUGCCAAAUUUACCUGCUGUGCUCAGGACAGUGGGAGAAAGAAGAAAACUUUUGCUUUGACAUCAUCUCAGUUCUUUCUCUGAACUGGCCUUGUGUCUAGUUUGAGUUGUCAGCUGGAGCCAGUGGUUUCUGUGGCUGCCAAUUUAACACAGGUUCUGAAGAGGGUUUUGGAAGCUCUUAGAAACUUGUCUUGGUAAAGCCCAGCUGAGCAUCUGCCCAGCCUGCCUGGAAAAAUCUAGCUGUUUUCUAGACCCUUCUGUCCCUUCCUCAGCCCUGCUUUCAGUUGGGUCCCAAAUUAAUCAGAGAAGAAGGCUCUCCAGAGACUCACGUGUAGCGCUUAAAUUGUCUUAUUUCACUGGCCUGAAAACAGGAGAGCCCUUGGGAAACUGUUGCCAAGACUGUUCACCAGCUCCUCCAACAUCGGAAAAACUAAAGCACAGAGAUAUUCACCACAACGACAGAGCUAGAGAAACAACCCAAAAAUCCUAAAUGCCUGAAAUUUUUAAUAACCACAUCGCUAAAUCUAUUUCUCACAUCUUUUUGACUCUUCCCUCUCCCUCCUUCCCUAUAUUUAGACUACUGCAGUGGGUGAUAAAUAACAAUAAAAUGAAUCUUUGUUUUUAAUUUCAGAAUCUCACGAAAGCUUGGAAUCCUAUGAACUUAAUCCCUUCCUUAACAGGAGAAAUGCUAAUACCUUUAUGACUCCGCAGCAGAGAUGGAGAGCUAGAGCCCAAGAAAGGAUCCGAGAAAGCACCAAGCCUGCCCAUGAGCUCAACCGGGAAGCCUGUGAGGACUUCAAACUUUGCGAACGCUAUGCUAUGGUUUACGGAUACGAUGCUGCCUACAAUCGCUAUUUCCGGCAGCGCCGAUGGGAAAAAUGAGAUUGGGAAACGUCUCUUUCUUUCCAGAGCCUGGUGCCUGGUUUUGUAUUCCCUUGCAGUAGCAUCACUGAACUAUAUAGACACACACAAAUUGCUUGUUUCUUAAAUGUUCUCGUCUGGCUGCACCCGUCCUUCCUGCCCGCAUUGAUGAGUAGUGAAAGUGCAGUGUAGUGAAGGUUGAAGGGGAGUUAAGAUGUGUAAUUACUACACAAUAAACUUCUGGUUGGAUCCUUUCAUUUUGUGAGUCUGAUUCUUCUGGGAAAAUGCUGAGAUGUUUAAAUCACAGCCAUCUAACCCAGAAUAGGAGAUUCUGUCAGUCAUGUUCUAGUGUCAAUCAGAAGCAAAACUAUAUAGGAAUAAUGAACUUUAGAAGACAUUCACCCAGCCCUAAUUUGUCUAGACUCUCUCUGCCUUGGUAUCAGUAAAUGAUUGCUUUCUAUUAUGUGUUUUCCAGGAUUUUCAAACAUCAUAGACACUUAACCAUUUUAUUUUCCUGCUCCCAAACUUUAAAUGGCUCCUAAAUUCCUUCCGUGUGUGACUCUGUAUCCUGGCUCAUCACCCUCAUGUGAAAGUUAUCAGUUCCUAAGAUGCUACACUUUCCACUCUUACUUGUACAGAGAAAAUAUUUGCUUUCAUAAUCACCAGUGAUGUUAAAAUGACACAUCCGUGGAAUUUUGGAGCCAGACAUGAUGCUAGAGGUCCUUUAGGCCUGAUUUGCUGAGGAGUAAAUGAGGCUCCGAAGUCUUCCCUCCUUGGUUGUUAAGAAUAGAAGCCAGCACUUCUCAGUGUCAAUUCAGACUUUGUUCUUUUCUGCCAUGUACACUUGUCAAGCCCACCUUUUACAUCCAUUCCUUCUGGUAGGUCCACUGUAUAUCUCUUUAGUGGAGUGUCUUUCCACUCCUUCAAAAUCCUACUCAAAACUCAAGUACUUUAUGAAAUCAGUAAUGAUUAAAACUACUCACCUUGUAUCAGUAUUCAGCCUUUUGAGAAUGAUGUAAAGAACUAAGUACGAUAUUAUUCAGUUCGUGUUUUGAUUAAAGUUUAUUUUCAUGUAUAUUUGGCUUGUCUAGCAUUAUGGUAAAUUCUUUGAGAGCAGGCACUGUAACUGCAAUUUUUCCUCUCUAUAACCUUAGUACCAUGUUCUGUUCACAAAGAGUAUUCUGUGAAAGCUGAAUGAACAACAGACUGCCUAGUCAUGCCUGGGAGUGAUCACCGAAUUCUGAAACGGUUAGAUUCAUCAUAAAAAUGUGUGUUGUAUAUUUUAAACCAUGAUCAUGUUAAUAUGAUGGUGAGAUUUGUAUAAUUUUCUGAGCUCUUUUGCAUGCAGUAACUCAUUAGAUAAUACAACAACCCAGAAGAUGGGUAAUAUUUAGAUGGUAAAAUUGAGACUCAGAGAAAUAACUUUCUGAAGAUGUUGCAGUAGAUGCAGGGGUAUGCCACUCAGACUGAGAAAUUAUUCCCAUGGCCACCAGGGUAUUGGGAGCUGAUGGUUUCCAGCUCAGAACUUGAGUACAUCUCUCUACAGAUCUCUAGAGCACUCUUUGUGAGCAUCUCUCUCCUCUCUGGUUCUCUUUCCUCUGAUUACUAACCACCUCUCUGGACUCCCAGCUGCGUCUCCUCAAUUGAGGAGAGCCAUAAAAGCUCUGUCAGGGUUCCAUUUUCCUUCCCAUGGCCUGAAAAGUCUCCAGGAAGUAAGUUGGGACAAUUAAAGGGCUCACUUUAUUUGUCUCCCAUCUCUCAUGCAUCACUGUCAAGCAAUUCAAAAGAAGAUAAAAGGAAAACAAAAAGAGGAAAAGGGGAAAAAACUCAGAAGAGAUAAAUUGAAAACAAGUGGCAAGGUGAUAGACUUAAACCUAUCUCAAUAAUCUCAUUAUAUGUAAAUAGUAUAAACGGUCCAAUUAUUUUUUUACUUCUACACAUGUUAUAGAUCCUACAGUAUGUUGUUUAAUAUUUUUCUUGAACAAUUAUUUUUUAAAAGGUUUAGAUAAUACAAAAAAUAUCUCAUACGUCUACCCAUGUAGUUUCCAUUUUGAUGUUCUUCAUUCUUUUGUGUGCAUCCAGAUUUCCAUCUGGUGUAAUUUUCCUUUGGC